UACGAAGGGGACUAGCGUUGUUCGGAAUUACUGGGCGUAAAGCGCACGUAGGCGGAUUUGUUAGUCAGGGGUGAAAUCCCGGGGCUCAACCUCGGAACUGCCUUUGAUACUGCAAGUCUCGAGUCCGAUAGAGGUGGGUGGAAUUCCUAGUGUAGAGGUGAAAUUCGUAGAUAUUAGGAAGAACACCGGUGGCGAAGGCGGCCCACUGGAUCGGUACUGACACUGAGGUGCGAAAGCGUGGGGAGCAAACAGG
rnacentral:rRNA from 1 species